UUGUGAGGUGGAGCAUUUUAGUCCAACAAGUUGCAAAUGAGAAAAACUAGUCCUAGAAGUUGAGAUGCAGAUUGGUUAGAGGUCCAAACCAAUAAGUGUUGACACGUGUCCUGUAUAGUUGGCCCAGACAGUUUCUGGGUUUUUUUUCUGAAAAGAAAACCCCCUGUGAUUAUUGCGCAUCCCGCUCACCUCCUGGGGCGUGACUAGCAGGUCCGGCACGCGCACUGCCUCCGUCCCCGGCGGCAACGGCUUGCACGAUCUCAACACCCUGCCCGUCGUAGUCAACGGAAACCGAGCAGCCGACGGGACUCUCGGCGUGUACCGGGGACAUGUGCAUAAAUCAUUCCUGUCCGGGGGCCCUUUUUGCGAAAUUUCUACGGGUCCGACGUGACUUCAUGUUGCUGCCACCUGUCCAAUUCGGACUAAUUGGACUAAAAUGCUUCCACAUCUCAACUUCUAGGACUAGGUUUUCCCAUUUUACAAGAAGUUGGACUAAAAUGCUCACACCUCUCAAGUU